ensembl:lncRNA
UAAUUAAUGAUGGCUCUCUUGGUUCAUCAAGUUGCUAUUUUAUUAAUGGAACAAAAUGACAAUCUGUGAAAAAAGAGGAUAUUUUUCUUCUUCAGUAUGGCUGUACUCUACCAGUAUGAGACAGGAGCCGCAGGCAGCGAGGUAGGUAUGUCGUCGAAUAUAUUUAUUGAGGAAAAUAAAUGUUUAAAACCAGCUGAUCACAGAGGAAACGGGGAUAAAGGCAACAUACUAUUCAAAUAAAAGUACCUCAUAAAUAAAAUCAAAGACACAUUAUGGAAGCUAAUAUUCAAUAUACAUUAUAACUUAAUUAAUUUAAAGGUUACAGAUGUAUUUGGACAAGCUAUGGCUAGUACGUUGUGGUUCUACUGUGGAGGUUCUACUGUAUUAUAGUCAGAGUGGAGGUUCUACUGUAGUCUCAGAGUGGAGGUUCUACUGUAGUCAGAGUGGAGGUUCUACUGUAGUCUCAGAGUGGAGGUUCUACUGUAGUCAGAGUGGAGGUUCUACUGUAGUCUCAGAGUGGAGGUUCUACUGUAGUCAGAGUGGAGGUUCUACUGUAGUCUCAGAGUGGAGGUUCUACUGUAGUCAGAGUGGAGGUUCUAUUGUAGUCUCAGAGUGGAUGUUCUACUGUAGUCUCAGAGUGGAGGUUCUACUGUAGUCUCAGAGAGGAGGUUCUGCUGUAGUCUCAGAGUGGAGGUUCUACUGUAGUCUCAGAGAGGAGGUUCUACUGUAGUCUCAGAGAGGAGGUUCUACUGUAGUCAGAGAGGAGGUUCUACUGUAGUCUCAGAGAGGAGGUUCUACUGUAGUGCAGUCAGAGAGGAGGUUCUACUGUAGUCUCAGAGAGGAGGUUCUACUGUAGUGUACUCAGAGUGGAGGUUCUGCUGGUCCCUGUCCCUCCUGGUCUCUGUCCCUCCUGGUCCCUCCUGGUCUCUGUCCCUCCUGGUCUCUGUCCCUCCUGGUCUCUGUCCCUCCUGGUCUCUGUCCAUCCUGGUCUCUGUCCCUCCUGGUCCCUGUCCCUCCUCCUGGUCCCUCCUGGUCCCUCCUGGUCUCUGUCCCUCCUGGUCCCUCCUGGUCUCUGUCCCUCCUGGUCCCUGUCCCUCCUGGUCUCUGUCCCUCCUGGUCUGUCC